AUGGCCACACCAGAGUCUGAAAAUGAGGAAACAUUCAUGAACAGAGUUGAAGUUAAAGUAAAAAUUCCUGAAGAGCUAAAACCAUGACUUGUUGAUGACUGGGACUUAAUUACCAGGCAAAAACAGCUCUUUUAUCUCCCUGCCAAGAAGAAUGUGGAUUCCAUUCUAGAGGAUUAUGCAAAUUAUAAGAAUUCUCGUGGAAACACAGAUAAUGAGUAUGCUGUUAAUGAAGUUGUGGCAGGAAUAAAAGAAUACUUCAAUGUGAUGCUGGGCACUCAGCUACUCUACAAAUUCGAGAGGCCACAGUAUGCCGAAAUUCUUGCAGAUCACCCUGAUGCUCCCAUGUCCCAGGUGUAUGGAGCACCACAUCUGCGGAGAUUAUUUGUGCGAAUUGGAGCAAUGUUGGCCUAUACACCUCUGGAUGAGAAGAGCCUUGCUUUAUUACUGAAUUAUCUUCAUGACUUCCUAAAAUACCUGGCAAAGAAUUCUGCGACCUUGUUUAGUCCCAGUGAUUAUGAAGUGGCCCCUCCUGAGUACCAUUGGAAAGCUGUGUGA